rnacentral:rRNA from 1 species
UACGUAGGGUGCGAGCGUUAAUCGGAAUUACUGGGCGUAAAGCGCACGUAGGCGGACUCUUAAGUCGGUGGUGAAAUCCUGGAGCUCAACUCCAGAACUGCCUUCGAUACUGGGAGUCUCGAGUCCGAGAGAGGUGAGUGGAACUGCGAGUGUAGAGGUGAAAUUCGUAGAUAUUCGCAAGAACACCAGUGGCGAAGGCGGCUCACUGGCUCGGUACUGACGCUGAGGUGGCGAAAGCGUGGGGAGCAAACAGGG